rnacentral:tRNA from 1 species
GCCCAGGUGGCUCAGUGGUUGAGCGUCUGCCUUUCAUUCAGGAUGUGGUCCUGGGCU